AACGAACGCUGGCGGCAUGCCUAACACAUGCAAGUCGAACGAGACCUUCGGGUCUAGUGGCGCACGGGUGCGUAACGCGUGGGAACCUGCCCUUAGGUUCGGAAUAACUCCCCGAAAGGGGUGCUAAUACCGGAUAAUGUCUUCGGACCAAAGAUUUAUCGCCUUUGGAUGGGCCCGCGUUGGAUUAGCUAGUUGGUAGGGUAAAAGCCUACCAAGGCGACGAUCCAUAGCUGGUCUGAGAGGAUGAUCGGCCACACUGGGACUGAGACACGGCCCAGACUCCUACGGGAGGCAGCAGGGGGGAAUAUUGGACAAUGGGCGAAAGCCUGAUCCAGCAAGGCCGCGUGAGUGAUGAAGGCCUUAGGGUUGUAAAGCUCUUUUACCCGGGAUGAUAAUGACAGUACCGGGAGAAUAAGCUCCGGCUAACUCCGU
rnacentral:rRNA from 1 species